GGAUUCCCCUAGUAACGGCGAGUGAAGCGGGAAGAGCUCAAAUUUUAAAUCUGGCGUCCUCGGGCGUCCGAGUUGUAAUCUAGAGAAGCGUUUUCGUGUCGGCCCCACCAUAAGUUACCUCGAACGGUGCAUCAUAGAGGGUGAGAAUCCCGUAUGUUGGUGGAUGCUCCGGCGCAUGUGAUGCGCUCUCGACGAGUCGAGUUGUUUGGGAAUGCAGCUCAAAACGGGAGGUAAAUUCCUUCUAAAGCUAA
rnacentral:rRNA from 1 species